CAGAGCUCUGAAAAUUGUUAUAAAUUAAUAGUCAAUUGAUAUUGAUUACAGAAACUGUCAAUUAAUCUUAUUAAUCAUCGUCAAAGACAAUUGAACUUUUUAAUUGUCAAGAAUUGGCCGAGGUACAGUGAUUUUAAAUAGAUCUAUUGAAUGACUCAAGUGCAGUGUAGUGUUGUUGACGAGAAUAAUCAAUCGGCGAUCGUGUGGCGUCAUCUUUUCGAGAGCGUCAAGUAGCAUUUAUUAAGAAAGGAAACUGGUUUAAUGCCAGGAACAAGGAGAUUGCUCGUAAUUUCAACGAAUAAUACUUGGAAGAAGAGGAAAAAGAAGAAGAAGAAGAAGAAGGGAAAGAAUCGGAGAGCAUGAAAAGGGAUAAAUAGGAGAAGAGAGAAGAAAGAGUCGUUGGCCUUACCAAGAAGAGAUGUACAUAGAAAUCCAUGCGAGAAAUCCAUAUGCAUUGAAUAUCUUCUCAUGCGAGGAGCACGUCCUGCGAAUUCUUGAAUCGCUUUGGUACAUCCUAAGGCACACUUCAGAAUGCGACCGUCGUAUUGGCAUACCUUACGUGAUAGUAUAAGUUAGUAAUUUUCGGUUAAAGUUAGUUAACAAGUAAGACAGAUAUGAGCUUAACAAUUAUUACAUCAACGAAGUUAAAGAAUGUUUAAUA